UACGUAGGAGGCAAGCGUUGUCCGGAAUCACUGGGCGUAAAGCGCGUGUAGGCGGAUCGCUAAGUCUGUGGUGAAAGCGCCUGGCUUAACCGGGCGAGGUCCAUGGAAACUAGCGGUCUGGAGGCCGGUAGAGGGGGUGGAAUUCCGGGUGUAGUGGGUGAAAUGCGUAGAGAUCCGGAGGAACACCAGUGGCGAAGGCGGCCCCUGGGCCGCGCCUGACGCUGAGACGCGAAAGCGCGGGGAGCGAACGGG
rnacentral:rRNA from 1 species